ensembl:lncRNA
UUACUCAGGAACAGGUUAAUGUUAGUGGAUUACUCAGGAACAGGUUAAUGUUAAAGUGGAUUACUCAGGAACAGGUUAAUGUUAAAGUGGAUUACUCAGGAACAGGUUAAUGUUAGUGGAUUACUCAGGAACAGGUUAAUGUUAAAGUGGAUUACUCAGGAACAGGUUAAUGUUAAAGUGGAUUACUCAGGAACAGGUUAAUGUUAGUGGAUUACUCAGGAACAGGUUAAUGUUAAAGUGGAUUACUCAGGAACAGGUUAAUGUUAGUGGAUUACUCAGGAACAGGUUAAUGUUAAAGUGGAUUACUCAGGAACAGGUUAAUGUUAGUGGAUUACUCAGGAACAGGUUAAUGUUAGUGGAUUACUCAGGAACAGGUUAAUGUUAGUGGAUUACUCAGGAACAGGUUAAUGUUAAAGUGGAUUACUCAGGAACAG